AGAGUUUGAUCCUGGCUCAGGAUGAACGCUGGCGGCGCGCCUAACACAUGCAAGUCGAACGGACGAUGCCCCUUCGGGGACAAAGUCAGUGGCGGACGGGUGAGUAACGCGUGAGUAACCUGCCCUUAUGAGUGGAAUAACGUCCGGAAACAGACGCUAAUACCGCAUAACGCAGCGAUACGGCAUCGUAUUGCUGCCAAAGAUUUAUCGCAUAAGGAUGGACUCGCGUCCCAUUAGAUAGUUGGCGGGGUAACGGCCCACCAAGUCAGCGAUGGGUAGCCGGACUGAGAGGUUGACCGGUCACAUUGGAACUGAGAGACGGUCCAGACUCCUACGGGAGGCAGCAGUGGGGAAUAUUGGGCAAUGGGCGAAAGCCUGACCCAGCGACGCCGCGUGAGCGAAGAAGGUCUUCGGAUUGUAAAGCUCUGUUGAUAGGGACGAUAAUGACGGUACCUAUCGAGGAAGCCACGGCUAACUACGUGCCAGCAGCCGCGGUAAUACGUAGGUGGCAAGCGUUAUCCGGAUUUACUGGGUGUAAAGGGUGUGUAGGCGGGACUGCAAGUCAGAUGUGAAAAUCAUGGGCUCAACUCAUGACCUGCAUUUGAAACUGUGGUUCUUGAGAGUCGGAGGGGUAAUCGGAAUUCCCGGUGUAGCGGUGAAAUGCGUAGAUAUCGGGAGGAACACCAGUGGCGAAGGCGGAUUACUGGACGACCACUGACGCUGAGACACGAAAGCGUGGGGAGCAAACAGGAUUAGAUACCCUGGUAGUCCACGCUGUAAACGAUGAAUACUAGGUGUGGGAGGACUGACCCCUUCCGUGCCGCAGUUAACACAAUAAGUAUUCCACCUGGGGAGUACGACCGCAAGGUUGAAACUCAAAGGAAUUGACGGGGGCCCGCACAAGCAGUGGAGUAUGUGGUUUAAUUCGACGCAACGCGAAGAACCUUACCAGGACUUGACAUCCCAAGAAGUCGGCGUAAUGGCUGAUGUGCCCUUCGGGGAGCUUGGAGACAGGUGGUGCAUGGUUGUCGUCAGCUCGUGUCGUGAGAUGUUGGGUUAAGU
rnacentral:rRNA from 1 species